CAGUGCGCCAGCAUGGCACAUGUAUACAUAUGUAACUAACCUGCACAAUGUGCACAUGUCCCCUAAAACUUAAAGUAUAAUAAAAAAAAAAAAAGAAUCUUCAAACCUAAUGCCUAGAACAUUUUAUCAACAUUAAACUUCUAUUUAAAGUUUAUUCUUAGCUAUCUAUAAGAAACGUUUACUAGGAAGCAGAAAAAAUAAGCUCUUUCUAAAAGAGUAUAUUUGCAAUUUGAACUUUCAAAAAUUGAUAAAGCAGUACACACAUUUAUUUUUAGAAAUUGAAGCUGCAAAGCUAAGCAAUUUCCUACUAUGACAUGUGUGUUGGACAGUGUAGGGCAUAGCAAUGAUUAGUGAUUUUCAGCAGCCUUUCUUGAAUAGGCAUUGAAAAUAGCUAAACAAAAAAAGAGAAAUGAGCUGAAUUCUUGGAGUUAAUAUUUUGGAGUGAAUUAUAAAACAGAGUUCUUGCAAUAAUGCAUGUAAAUUAAAAAUAGGUUAGCAAAGCAUGAGUAAAAAUAGUCAAUUUUCAAAUACUUUUCACAGCUCUCCGAGUCUGACAUAUUUCUCUGGCUAAAAGGGAAGAAACAUAUCGGCACUCAUGUUGGGAAGACCUUAGAACAGCAAAGUACUAAAACUUGCCAAACCAACUUCAAGUGGCUUUCUUGUUAGUGCAAUACACACUGCACUGAGUUCCUGAGCAUAAUAUUUCCACCCUUUCCCACGGAGUCUGCUUAAAUUUGAAGAUUUUUUUUCUAGUAGGUGUAUUGUCCUUAAUUUUGGAGGAAGUUUUAAAAAGGUGGAUUAAUGUUAUAUAUGCUUCCGAGAAUAUUAUGCAACCAUGAAGCUUUGCACUUCAACAUAAAUGAAUCCCAAAAAGAGCCAGAUGAACUGUUGGCUGGGAGGCAGAGCCUUAGGAUGUUUCAAAUUCAUCGUGACUUCACAUAAAGGUCCUCUCUGGAGUAUGAAAGUCAAUUUUACAGGUGUAAAAUAAAGGAAAAGACGACAGUCUGAAAGUCAAACGAAAUUCCAGGACCACCUGUAUUUCAGUGAGAGGUUGCCUCUCAUAUCUCUUCAUCAUAUAUACCUCUUCAAAUUCAAUCGAGAUUUCAAUUCGUCUCACUUCUCCCCAACCUUACUCUGAUCUCCUGGUAAUUUUAGAGUAAUUGAGAAUAUUUUCUAACAUACGUGUCAACAUAAUGAAGGAGCUGGGACCUAAGUGAAGAAGCGACAAAAUUUACAGUGGCUUUGAAUGCUGGUUCCUGAAUGGAUUUGCUUGACUGCAAUUCAAUCUUUUUUGUGGCUCAAGGCUCACUCACCUCUAAAAGGCACUUUGUUUGUCAGAAUCGAUUUAAAUCAAUUUCUGUGGAAAUUAAAAUUAAAUAUGGUAUCCCUAAGAUUCUUGCAUUUAUUUCAAUUUUUAAAUUAUUGAUUUAUACAUGAUUUUUAUGCCCCAUCAUUAUAUGAACAUUUAUAUAAUUAGUG
rnacentral:lncRNA from 1 species